UAUAUCAAGUUAGUUCUCAAAGAAGCUUCUUUGAGAACUAACAUGAUAUACU
rnacentral:pre_miRNA from 1 species